UCAGUCGAAGAUACCAGCUGGCUGCAACUGUUUAUUAAAAACACAGCACUGUGCAAACACGAAAGUGGACGUAUACGGUGUGACGCCUGCCCGGUGCCGGAAGGUUAAUUGAUGGGGUCAGCGCAAGCGAAGCUCUUGAUCGAAGCCCCGGUAAACGGCGGCCGUAACUAUAACGGUCCUAAGGUAGCGAAAUUCCUUGUCGGGUAAGUUCCGACCUGCACGAAUGGCGUAAUGAUGGCCAGGCUGUCUCCACCCGAGACUCAGUGAAAUUGAACUCGCUGUGAAGAUGCAGUGUACCCGCGGCAAGACGGAAAGACCCCGUGAACCUUUACUAUAGCUUGACACUGAACACUGGUCCUUGAUGUGUAGGAUAGGUGGGAGGCUUUGAAGUGUGGACGCCAGUCUGCAUGGAGCCGUCCUUGAAAUACCACCCUUUAAUGGCUGGUGUUCUAACGUAGGCCCCUUACCGGGGUUGCGGACAGUGUCUGGUGGGUAGUUUGACUGGGGCGGUCUCCUCCUAAAGAGUAACGGAGGAGCACGAAGGUUGGCUAAUCCUGGUCGGACAUCAGGAGGUUAGUGCAAUGGCAUAAGCCAGCUUGACUGCGAGCGUGACGGCGCGAGCAGGUGCGAAAGCAGGUCAUAGUGAUCCGGUGGUUCUGAAUGGAAGGGCCAUCGCUCAACGGAUAAAAGGUACUCCGGGGAUAACAGGCUGAUACCGCCCAAGAGUUCAUAUCGACGGCGGUGUUUGGCACCUCGAUGUCGGCUCAUCACAUCCUGGGGCUGAAGUAGGUCCCAAGGGUAUGGCUGUUCGCCAUUUAAAGUGGUACGCGAGCUGGGUUUAGAACGUCGUGAGACAGUUCGGUCCCUAUCUGCCGUGGGCGCUGGAGAACUGAGGGGGGCUGCUCCUAGUACGAGAGGACCGGAGUGGACGCAUCACUGGUGUUCGGGUUGUCAUGCCAAUGGCACUGCCCGGUAGCUAAAUGCGGAAGAGAUAAGUGCUGAAAGCAUCUAAGCACGAAACUUGCCCCGAGAUGAGUUCUCCCUGAGACUUUAAGUCUCCUGAAGGAACGUUGAAGACGACGACGUUGAUAGGCCGGGUGUGUAAGCGCAGCGAUGCGUUGAGCUAACCGGUACUAAUGAACCGUGAGGCUUAACCUU
rnacentral:rRNA from 1 species